UACGUAGGGUGCGAGCGUUGUCCGGAAUUACUGGGCGUAAAGAGUUCGUAGGCGGUUUGUCGCGUCGUUCGUGAAAACUUGGGGCUUAACUCCAAGCGUGCGGGCGAUACGGGCAGACUUGAGUACUACAGGGGAGACUGGAAUUCCUGGUGUAGCGGUGAAAUGCGCAGAUAUCGGGAGGAACACCGGUGGCGAAGGCGGUUCUCUGGGCCUUACCUGACGCUGAGGAGCGAAAGCGUGGGGAGCGAACAGG
rnacentral:rRNA from 1 species